GACGUAGGUGGCGAACGUUAUCCGGAAUUAUUGGGCGUAAAGGGUGCGUAGGCGGCAUGAUAAGUUAUUGGCGGUAAAUCGAGGCUCAACCUCGUGGAAACUGAUAAUACUGUUUUGCUUUGAGUACAGGAGAGGUUAACGGAACUCCAUGUGGAGCGGUAAAAAUGUGUAGAUAUAUGGAAGAACAUCAAUAACGGCGAAGGCAGUUAACUAUCCUGUU
rnacentral:rRNA from 1 species